AGCAUUCACCAUUGUCUCAGCAACCUCCCACAAAAGAGAAGGUUGAAAACUGAUGAUAAUUGUUUAACGCUCCUGGAUUCAGGAAAGACUUCAAGAAAUGGGACACCACAAUUUCCUUAAAGACCACUGGCAGGUUCCUCAUGAACUGAGGUGUAGCAAUCUAUCAGCAUUUUGUGGUAGGCCAAUCAAGAAACAGACACCUCAGAAAUUUCAGGAGUGCUGUUUAUUGUUGAAUGGUAGAGUAAGAAAAUCCUGAAAACUCUUCUUCUUUCUCAAGUUUCUUUUAAUUCUUUCUCAAAGUCUUCCUUAAAUGGCAUAUUCCUUCCUUUCCCAUUUUCAAGGACAGCUCUGCGUUUCUUCAUACAAUCUACCAGAAAUGGGAAACUCCAACUGCCAUAAAUAUGUGUCAGUUGCCAACUGUCUGAAUUUUGAUCACAUGACCAUCGGGAUGCUGCAACAGUUGCUUUCUACUUGAAGCCUCGUAUCCGAUUACCAUGCCUGAGCCUGCAUAGGAUUUCUAUGACCAGCCAAGGUUGGCUCGAUGCUGCUUCCUGCUGUUGUCUUUUGCUGGAAACAGGUGAUAAGAAUGCAGGGUGACAUUUCUGGCCUCAGCUCAUUAAAAUAUCUGUGGAAUUAAACAAUUAAUUAAAA